rnacentral:lncRNA from 1 species
AUGGUCCACGGGCAUCUAUAUCUGCUGUUCCCAAUCCCACCAGCAAGGGGCGCGCGAGAUGAAACAGUUCUGUCCUGGGAUGUACCACCGAGGGUAGCGGAAAGACCACCCACUCUGGAAGGUACCAUUGGGAGAGGGCGUGUGACAACAGAGAGGGUCCCCUUACACCGCGUCGGGCAUGGACCACAGUUCCCAGCAGCGGCACUCAUGGCGCCACUAGGUCCAUCCCCACUCGCUCCUCUUCGUCUUCCCACUGCUUUUGAAUCCGAGUGGACCCGGGAGAAAUAUCAGUGGGCAAGUGGCGUCAACAUUGGGACCUAUAGAUCAAGAUUCCCCAAGCUGGAUGAACCUGUGGUUGACCAGCAGCCCAGUGUUGAGCAACCUCAACAAGAGGAACCGCCAGCUGAGAUUCAGAAUAUCACACCUGAAAAGGAGGAAGUAAAUGGAGAGGAUCCAGUGAAUCACAAUGAAGAGAAGGAGAAGGAUGCCUCUGGAGGUAAAGUAUUCUGAUCUGGAAACUGAUCUCCAGGAAUUGGCUGAGGCAAAGACUGGGGGUAAAGGUGGAGAUGGUCCUGAUGUCAGGGAGGAGUUUGCAUCAAAUACAGAGCCUGUUGAAAUGCCAGAAGCAGGUGAAGGGCAACCAUUUGCUUGAAAGAAGAUAAACUGAAACGAUUUAUGCUGUUCUUAUUUGUAUAUUUGACUGUUAAAGUUGUGGAAAUAAAGUUUCGUUUUCUACUUGCACAUUUUUGUUAAAUUU